GACAGAGGGUGCAAACGUUGUUCGGAAUUACUGGGCGUAAAGCGCGUGUAGGCGGCCUGCAAGUCGGAUGUGAAAUCCCACGGCUCACCGUGGAAGUGCAUUCGAAACUGCAGGGCUAGAGUCCUGGAGAGGAAGGUGGAAUGCUUGGUGUAGAGGUUGAAAUUCGUAGAUAUCAAGCGGAACACCGGUGGCGAAGGCGGC
rnacentral:rRNA from 1 species